UAUGAACUAUUCUACUAUUCUUAAAUGAACAGUCGUCAGAUAAAGUACAUCUUUAAUAUAUAACAAUAGUAUUCUCAAUAUUUGUUCAUAAAAUACUUCAUAAUUACUUCUAUUUUGAAGUGUGAUGAAGAUGAAAAAAUAACUGUUUCUUCGGCGUUUAUGCAGCACGUCUGGACUGUAGAUAAAUGGCAAAGAUUUCACGGGAAGUUUCGACGUUUGCUACAAAUUACUGUUUCUUCGGAGGUGGUGCACCGCUUUAAAGGCUGUUGACAAGGCACAACUCGGGUUUAAGGAAAGAUUCGACGACUACUUACCAGUAAUAUAGCAUGGAUGAUCCAAUUAGUCAUGGAACCAAAUUCAGAUACCGACGUCAGUUGAAAACCUUUAAGAAAAGCCAAAUCUUUAAACUAUUUAAUAGAAUGUUCAAAUUAACCAGGACAAGGAGUCAUAUAAAUUGAAACAAAAACAAUCGAAGUAAAAAACAUGACAAAUAACAACUCAAAUUUUACAAUAAACACAACACCAAUGAAACCUUUAUUUAUAAUAAAAAGUAUGUCUGAUUUUCAUACAAUUGCGUUUGUGUUUACCUGCUGUAAUUGCUAAAAUAAUGAAAAUGAUACUGAUAUACACUUACAUCAUGUAAUGAAUAUAUUUUUUUUCAAAUUUAAACGAACUUAUA